rnacentral:lncRNA from 1 species
AGUCGACGACCACACCCUCCUUAUAUAAGAGCUAAAGAAGGACUUCAGAUUUUCAUCCACUGCCGAAGAUGACCUUGAUCGUGCAGCUGAGAUGGGGACGCAGGAUAUACGGUAACGGAUCGUUGACCCCACCAUCGGCACUAAGAGUGAAAAGCUGACAUCGACCCGAAGCGCAAUACCGCUUUCGAAACCGACCAAUAAUCAAACCAGAGAAUAAGAAAACUCCCGGGCCUGACAGGGAGUCGUUGGUCGGAAUCUCCGACCAACCACCCCCACAGGAAUCUCACCCAUUAGAAGAACUAUCAAAAAUCCAAAGGAACUCAAAGAGAAAAUGACAAGGAAUAUUUUCGCACGAAAGUAGCUCUCUGGCAUAGCUCUCCCAUCAAUGAGGAAUGGAUACCUGGCUGAC